rnacentral:lncRNA from 1 species
ACGUCUUAUUGAUAGUAGCAAUUGAUCCCAACUGAGGAAACUAACCAAGCAACAACAACAGACCACGACCAAUCGAUGGUUGCAGGCCUAGCCGAUGUAGUACAUGGGGUCGGGCAGCUUUAAGGUGUGCGCGCUCUCGGGCGCACCGAGGAUGUCGCUCCACUGGUCGACUAUGUUUCCCACGGUGCAGUAGCCAGCGUCCUGCAACUUCUGCCUCUCACCAGAUUUGUAAGUCACCGUGGAGCCCUUGAACCCUGGUUGCUUGACAACAAGUUCAUCCAUCUAGAGAUGCCCUCGCGGCGGAGAUUCGCAACUGUGAUGACCCUCUGAUCCCUCGGUCCCGCCUGUUAGGAACACCGGCUUGACGCCCACUGCGAGCAGCUUGUAGUACAGGCGCGCCCCCCUCCAGCACGUACGCGUUGUAGCUCGUGGCAUUGUUACGAGAAGCAAAACUAUGUUUCUUGAAAAGGGAAAAAUAAUCUAGGCUUCAAGAUUAGCUUUCGCUAGAACCACAGUUGUGCUUCUCUGAGAAAACUGUGCUUUCACAAGUACAAAUUUGCUUCUCAUAGAAGCACAUAUUUUUCCCGAAAGAGAGGAAGCACAAUUCAUGGGCGCGUCGGUCCUGGUCACUAAUGGAGUAGAUGGACUUUAUCAGAAGAGAGGAGUGCAGCUGCUGCAAUUUUCCGUGCAGAAGAGGGACAGUUCAUGGCAGCAUCGGUGCUAGUCACUAAUGAGCAGUGGUACCGGCUGCGGUUGAAGCUAUAGCUUGCAGUGAGGUGAUUUGCUUGGCAAAAGAUUUAGGAUUGAGUUCAAUGACAAUCGCUUCGGACUAUGCUGGUGUUGUCCAAAGUAUUCUUGAAAGGUCUCUAGAUGAAAAUGCUACGAUCAUUAGAGAGAUCAGAGAUUUGAAACUGUCUUUAAACAAAGUUAUUUUCAAGUUCAAGGGUAGAGAAUCUAAUGGUGAUGCCAGUGUUGCUAGAUUUUCACUUGACUUAGCUCGGGGUCGACAUGUUUGCUUUCUGGAGUCUCCGGGCUUUGUAAAACAUUUUGUUACUAUUUGAUUAACUAGGAAAUAUGCUCGCGUGUUGCAACGGAAAAAUAAAUAUUCAUAUAUCUGCUUGUGAAAAAAAAGUGUAAAUCAUCAAUCAAAUCUUUGAGGUUGCCUCACAACACGAGAAUCUAUCUUAGCCACAAGUUCAGCAAUGCAAUCACUAACACUGGUGCAGAUAAUUCAAUCAUGAUCAUAAACUAGUAUGAUCAUAUGAACUGCAUUGUAAAAUCACUGUGCAUUCAGCAUUAGUAGGCGGACCAUAUAUGAGAAAAUGAGUACUGAGUGGAUUUCAGUCGAAACAGAUUAGCUCAGCCAGAUAGUGCUACACAAUACGAGGCUCCGGCUCAGCUCCGGCUUUUUUGCUCAAUUGAUUUGCAAGGCUGAGGAUAGAAGGCAUCAGCGAGGAGCAUGCAAAAUUACCAUACAAGAUCCAUGCAUGCAGAUCGUUGGCAAAGAAAAUCCUGAACAAGAAUUAACUAGCAGCAGUAAGAUUAGACAGAUAUCAACCCAGAAAUCCAGUAUGCACCAAACCAGCAGCAACAAGGCUUAAAACUUCAAAUUACCAUGCUGUUCAUAAUCUUGAGUGACAAGCAAUCGACAACUAAAGUUCCAGAAUACUGCAUACGCAGAAGGCACAUUAAGAUAAAACAAGGGCAUCAGGAUUUCAAUCUUCAAAGUAUCAGCAUAUUGCUUGAGUCAUCAUGCAUCAGCAUCGCCAAAAGACCACCAUCUCACCAAGUCUCUAAGUAAUCCUACAAAAGGAAGAUAAACAAGUGCCCAUCAUUCAUCAGUAUAGUGCAUUGGAAAUCUAAGCCAAGUCUACCAUCUGAUCCUAAAAUGUUUAAAUAUGAGGCUAUUUUAAAAGCUAGGAAUAGCAGGCUUUCAUGCAUCCGAAAGGUACCAUCCAAAUGUUAGCAGUGUCGAAAAAGUAAAGCAACAAAAAUAUCAUCUCAGAAGCAUUCUAGAAAGUUUGGAGAUGCAAGGUUAUGGAAAACGGAAUCAACAUUUACUAUCCUAACAAAGGUGCAGGUCCAUGUCCAGUUAUGCAAACCAUCCACAUUCUGAAUUUAUAUAUAACCUUCGGUCCACAUUGUUACCUAUUAUGCUUUGGCAACAGAUGCAGGCUCUGUUGGGCCACCCCCGGCCUUCACAUCACUUCCUUCAGGUCCUGGAGUAGACAAAGCUUCAUCUUUUGAACAGGGACCCUAAAGAAUUUACAGCUGAUGUAAGUAUUGUGACCAACCCAAAACAACUAUUGUGUUUGAACUCCGAAUUAAGAUCCGUCGAUGUUGGCUCAAUCGACAUAUACUGCGGUAAGCAGUAAACAAAAUGUUGAGCCCAACAUCAAGAACAUGGUUAUAACAACAGUAACACUAAAGAGUGGAAAAGUCUCCAUUUUUGAACAAAGCAGUUACAGAGCCUACAGAAUAUCAUUUACAUAUAUGUGUAUAAUCUUUCACCAAUGGAUUCCUUGACAUGACUAAUUUUGAAUUUCUGCUCUAGGGGACUCAAGUGCUUCUUAUAUCAAACACAGAAUAACAAACCAUAGUGCCAUAAGGAUAUGAUAUAUCAUAUUCAUAUGUGCACACUAUCAUAAUAGAACUGUCCAUCUCAGAAAUAGCACCAUCAAAGGGUAUUAGACAUUAUGACCCGAGUAUUUCGAGUGAACUAGAAUUGCAAAAUGGAGUCAUAUACAGUAAAAUGGAUAGCAGAUUCCCACAUAAUCCAUUAAUUCAAUGCUCUCAGGUAAAUAAAACUUGCAUCGAAUCCAGUGGAAAGAAACUGUAUAUGCAUGGGCUCACCUUAUCAUUUUGUACCAAAGAAGGAGGCCACGCCAUGAUGUAGGGACGGACAGGCUUGUGAUAAUCUUCACAGAUCAAUUUCAGCUCCGCUGUUUCGAGACAAAAGGAUAGCAACAACUGAGGAGCCUCGGUACACCCGUCAUACUCAGUACGCAGGUACACGAUUCCAUCGAUAACAUCCAUAAGCCGCACAAUGAUAAAUUCAUCAUCUCCUUCUGAGAACUUAACGAACUGGCGAAUCGUUUUCAGGGGUAAUGUGUGGUCCAGCAUCCAGUAAUUGCGACCGUCGUCAUAAUACUCGUGCUCGCGUCUCCAAAAGAAAACAUCAAGCGAGCAAAAAUCUGGAUAAACGAUACAGGGCCUCCCAUCCUUGGUAUUGCCAAACACAAAAGCACACUCACGGCCUUCCUGAUCCGCCAAGAGCGGCGACAGAUCCAUUUUGGUGAACUUCAGCGUCGCGGUGUCGAGCACGGUGAUGUAGGGUUCCCUCACGUGCGUCCAAUAGACAGACCCAUUCACCAUCUUGCCGGUGACCCCGCUCCCGGUGCCAGGGAACUUGCGGCACUUGGACUUGAUGCUGCUGUCCGGCGAGAUGAUGUGGACGACCGCCUUGGCCUGAAAGAACUCAAAGAAGUCGAAAGCGAAACACACCACGCGGGGUGGCACGCCGGGGUCCUCUUGGGAGGAGAUAAUGUGGAACUCGAAGUUAGUGGCGUCGGAGAAAAGGCGGGGCGGCGGGGGAUAGAGAUGCAGCGCCCGGGUGAGAGGGUUGUAGGCAGCUAUCUGCUUGGCCCUCCGGUUGAAGACAACCACGUAGCCGUCGCAGCACCGCUCAAUCUCCCACACGGGCGAGGCCUCCUCCUCCUCGUCGUCUUCUUCUUCUUCCUCGUACUCCUCCUCCUCCUCAUCGCCGUCUUCGCUGCCGUCGGCGUCUGGGAGUGGGAGGGCGGUGAGGGAGAAAUCGCCGCCGCGGGCAGCGGCCUCGAAGUCGAGGUCAGGGCGGGUGUGGUGGGGGUCGAAAGAGGAGGGCUCGGGCUUGAAGCCUCUGCGCUGGACGAAGAGGCCGACGAAGGGAGACGGGUGGAGAGCCCGGAAGCUGCGGCGGAAGGCCGGGGAGGAACGGACCGCGGAGAGGAAGGUGCGGCAGGAGAGGGCGGCCCGGACGAGGCUAGGGAGGCCGGGGAGGCGGAGGAACACCUCGCGGAGAAGGUCAUCGUCGAGAUCGAGCACGGUGGUCGGGCAUUUCGCCGGCGGCGGCGGCGGCGGCGCCAUCGCUCGCGACCUAGGUUUUUUUCUGAGGGAGAGCUCGAGCCCUGGCCCCUGGGUAGUGUAGUGGGGAGAGCCGGAUGAAUGGGGCCAUGGGUCUCGUGUCGUCGGAAUUUCGAGUUUUAUCCCAGCGGAUACGGCCCAGGCCUGUCGGCGAGCCUGCGUGGGCCGCGCUGGUCAAGGACACCGGCCCAGAGUGCAUCGUCACCGAGGCCACUGAGUUGCCCUCAAACUUGCUCGACCAUGUUGGAGUAGUAUAUACCAUGUCUAUGUCAGUAACGUCUCGACCACAAUGAAGCGAGUGGUGUGAUGAGAGUGGAUUCUUGGUGCACGGGUGCAUUGGAGCCCCUUAUUUACGUACUUUUAAAAUCACAGUUCAAGUUUUUAAAAAAUGACAAGAUGAUGAUUUCUAAAUAGUGAACAAUGCAUGCUUUCCAAAUAUAGUGCCUCAAUUAGAGAUGAAAAUGGAGUGGAAACUUUCUGUUUUUCCGGAGGAAAAAUGAAAACGAAGAGGAAAUAUGAAAACGGAAACGAAAAUUUACAAAACGGAAGUGGAGAUGGAAUUUUUUUAUGCGGAAACGGGAACAAAAACGGAACGGUGUUUUCCGGUGGAACAUGCAUGAAAACGGAACUUUCCGUUUUCGUGAAUAUGGAAUUUCUGUUUUUACUAUAUACCUAUAGCUGCUUUGUAGCCCAACCACCAACGAAAAUACAAUGACACAAUUAGUAGAAUGGAUCUGAGGCCCAACUUCUACUACCACACAUGCACUCAGCUUGACCUCGGUACUAAUACAAUACUACGCUAAGGUGCCAACAUAAUGAUAUUAUUUUGUAGCCAUGUUAACAACUCAUUUUUUUUUAUUUUGUGUGUAUUUCUCUAUGAUUCAAGGGGUGUUUAAGUUCCGAUCAAUGCCUAUUUUUGUUUCCGUAUCAGCUUUGUAUUCGCUCCAUGUCCAUCUUCGGCAGUAUCUGUUUCUGUAUUCAUUUCCGGGGUUUCUGUAUUCGUUUCUGCUUCUACAAAGAAAAUGUGAAAACAAAUAUAGUAGCACUCAGUUUCGUCCGUUUCCACUCCUUUUUCAUCCCUAGCCUCAAUGCACCCGUGCACCAAAGUGACCCGCGUUCUUUUUUUAUUGCCCUACUGCAUUCUCGUAAUAUAUGUCACCCUUCUUGUACAUGGUGGGACUGCAUUCUCGCCACACCACAAGUAACUAGAUCGGAAUCGCGCCUUGGCGCGAGGGUGCCGGUCCUAAUAUUUUGAUCAAGCAUGUAAUGUUAAGUUAGUAGAAAUCCAAAUUUAGCAUAUGCAUUCAUACAAGACAACUACCGAGCGAUCCAUUAAAUAUGAAUUUCAUAAUCUGAAACAUCAAUUACUGCAUCAAUUAGUAUAUAUCAGGGAAAAACAUAGAAACAAUAUAGUUCCGAAACAUAUGUGUCCUCUAAAAUCAGAAUCGACAUGGACAAAAAAAGGAAUUGUUGACAAACAACACUUGGAUGACGCAAAUCAUUCCAAGCCUACAAUUGAUAACAUGGUUGGGAACACAUAUGCCUGCCACGCAACUCUGUACAGGCCAGCCGCUGAGUGAUGUAUGUAAAUAAGGAUCUCACAAACUGCAACGAUAAUUGUUGCAUCAAUAUAUAAUAGGAAAGAUUUCAUAAAGAGCAAGGGUAUUACUAAUGGCACGGGGCAAGCAUUAUUGGCAUCUUGGCAGUCACUUAAUGGAUCAAUCUUUUGAUCGUCAUCUUCAACCUCCUUAGACAUUCUGGACAUCUUCUCUUUUAAAUCACAUGAAUGGUCUUCAAAUAGCAUUACCCACGAGGAUAUGCCUCAUUACCGCAAGCCACGCCGACGCAUACACCACAAGAAGGAGCAGCAUCACAUCCACGUCCUUCUCUGUGGUGUGGUGACGGUUGUGCCCGCAGAGCGCCGAGGAGCGAUGGCAACCUAGGUUAGGGCGGCACGAACAUGGUGACAACAAGAGAAAUAGGGAAGGAUAAGGUGCAUGAAAGAGGCAGGUCAAAGCCGCGAGGACGUACCUUGAGGACGGCGCUUCCUGACGUCCUCCUCCUUGAUGACGAGGAAGCACCAAGGGCAGCUUGAUGCUUGCCGGCGUCUUCCCUGAUGAAUUGGAGCCAAGCACUACAGGGUCAGAGGUGCAGCGCCUCGUGCUUCUCCCGCUGAGCAUAUAUAAGCAAUCAAACAAGAAAUGAGAUGCUAUAUGUGAAUAAUAUACGAAUAAGGAGAUGCUAUAUAAGUGACCAGCAGCGCGCAUUGGCGCGUGGUGCUGGGUCCGAUUGUUGUACCAAAGCGUGUGUUCCAGCCACGCAAGCUUAGCAUGUUUAGUGGCCUAUGAUAAAGCAAAAGCAUUUAUCCUAGAUCACAAAUGCGUGCGAUUGCCGCACCCGUCCAUGUAGAGGAAAGAACUACAUAGAUAUAGAAAAAAUGCAUGAAACAAUAGAAAUAUACAAAUUGUUUCAACAGUAAAUAAAAGUCAAAGGGUAUGUUUGGGGGUAACAUCCAUCAAGCCAGUAAUUCAAUAGCAUACAAUUUUUUUUGGUGAGACUAAAUGGUUUAUUCAUAUAAAGAAUAUACACGCAAAUUAAAAACUAUCAUUAGCAUUCAUGAUUGCACAUGGUAGUAAAUACUAAGAAAAUUAUUUAGUUGUGAUUUAUAUAACUGGUAUCACAACUAAUAAAAAUUAGUAGAUUACAGGUAAAUUAAGUAUAUCACCCUACAGUGUUUCAUCAUCUGUGCUAGUUUCACAACAUUAUAUAAAGACCUAAUUGCCACUAUCUUCAAACAUGACUAAGGCAAUCAACUGAAAAGUGAUGCCUUGAGUGGCAUGGUUCGCCACCCCAGUCUGUCCAUGAUGGAAGCUAUGGAGGCGACAAUCAGUUGGGUACCGCUUAUCAUAGUGAAGCAUGUCCAACCUGUAUUUGGCUAAUAUCUAUUUAGUCAAGCAUGCACAUAUAAACUUCUGCACUUCUUUAGAAAGAGCAAGAUUUAUACGAGUAUGCAGCGAAAUAAAGCAACAAAAUAAUAAUUAGCUUGUUAGAUUUUGGUAUAAAAUAAGAAGUUAUGGCGAACCUUCACAUCUAGUAAUAUCUUAUUUAUCUGUCCAACAUGAUCAGGGUCGUCGAUACAGCAGAGGCAAACAGUCACUGCCUUUUGAAUGUCCUGCAUACAGUAGAAGAACUACGCGUUAGUAUAUAUAUGAUGUCAAUUUUAUUUAACUUCACAAAAACACAAAUUUUACGCCGACCUACUUCUAAUCUGGUUCGUGUUUGUGCAACCUUCUCGGACUCCAAUGACAUUUAUCUAACCCAAAUAGCCUUUUGUUGUUUCUAGCGUCACUUUCAACAAGUAUAACUUUAUUAAUUCCUAGCCUGACCUGCUGAAAGUAUAUCUUUAUUAAUUGCGAGCCUGACAACAUAUAUAUUUUUUCAGUUUGACAUAGAAGCACAUUUCCAGUUCACCAUGAAGCAAAUUAAGGUAUGCCUUGCUGCCGCGCAACGAUAUUUCUUGUGCUUUCUCACGAAGCCAUUGCCUUAUUAUAAGUGCUUUUUCUUUUCUUUUCUUUUUCAAAUCCCUACAAAACAAUAGAUAUUCGAGUAUAUCCUCUGAAACUUAAAAUGGGGCCAUAUAUAUUCCGUAAUCAAGACUUCUGGACGGAUGCUAGGUAUGUAUUAGUUUGGUUUGGUUUCAUCUCAAAGAUUCAGCGCAACAGACCCUGCUGUUACUGCAUGAAUAAGCUGAAUAUUUCUGCUGCUAGCGAGUAACAGCCUAACAUGUCAUGUAUUUUCUCUAUCUAAUUUACGGCGGGACGGCGACUGCUUUGAUGUGCACUACAUCCUCGAUGACCCACCUUGUGUUGUGCCUCUGGUGCGCCCACCGACGUGGUAGUUGCGUCCACUGCCGCUAUCUCUGCUUACUCCAUAUCCUACAUCAACCGCCUUGCUAUCUUCCGCUCGGGCAGUACUCAACAUCAUAAUUUGGUGGCUGACAACAGGCCUCUUUCGCCUUGUCAACCUCCAAGCCCUUAAGUGCUGCGCUGGCAGCACCAUAGGUCCAGCUCCCUCCAAGGGCAGAAAUGAACAUGGCAGCAUCUUAAUUAAUUAAUAUUAAUAGGAUGGAUUAGUGUUAAGAAUACGAAUGGGGAAGUAGCUCAAAUGAUAACUGAAACUCCAGAUCAUUCAUGUAUCCCUCUAAACCUUCGUAACUGAAACAAACUCCAGGACCUCCUCUUCAUCCAGUCAGCACCGCAUAGCGCCAUGAAAAUGCAAGGAAAGGACGAGGGGGCUCACCUUGGCUUGAUUCCCGUCUGGUGUUCCUCCUAUCGAUGGCGACAAUGCGCUCUGGCGCUCCUCCUGGAAGCAUCUGCGCAAGCGGCAGCCUCCACUCGUCCCGAUGAUGGCAACACAGCGAGCCCGACGCGGCCUCCUCCAUGAUCUGCCUGAAUCAAGCAAUUGACCCAAAACAGGAUUAAGAAACCCCGUACAAAAAUGAGAUUGGAAAUACAUUAUCAUAGGGAAUUGUUGGUGGAAGAGGGGCAGAAAAAAUAAGAUGGUGAGCAAUAUAGUCGUGAACCAUAGCUUUUCCACCUUCUGCUGCUAGAGUAAGAAGGGCGGGCCUGUACGCGGCUGGCAGAGGAGGAUGGUGUGUCACGUUAGGUCAAGAAAUCAUGUAUCCAAGGCCAGCGCCCACGGAAAAACUAUUUUUAAUGCACAAGAAGCCAAAAAAAUUGUCUCAGCAGACAGAAAAUAGUAAACAUUUAAACUAAAGCAAGCAUCCAACAGUUUAUCAACAAAUAACUGACACAUCCCAUUGUUAGAAUGUAGUAGAAAUAGUGAACAUCAACAAAAAAAAAGAAUAACAGGGAAAAGAAAAAAUAUAGCAGAAAUAUUUACUAUGUGUUUGCGAGUUUGUCUUUUCCUAGCUGGAACAUCGUUAGAAUCACUGUUUCAAAGUAAGUCGAAAAUGCUCAAAAGAAUAGUUGUCACCUGGCUUAUGUUUGUGAGUUUGCCUUCUCCUAGCUGGAACAUCAUUAGAAUUAUAAAACCCUCCCAUCCCUACAGAAUGUCGAAAAAGAAACAAUUGGGCUAUUAGAUAGAAGUUAAAUUUCAUAGAAUCAACAUCUGAAAGAAAGCACUGAGAGGCAAUCAUAUAAUUAAAUUAUGAUAACUGGAAAGUUUUCUAAUACAAGUAAAUAAUUAACUUCAACCUUGCACUGAUCAUAUAUCUUUUGAACCAGAGAUAAGGGUCAAAAUAUAUUACUGUUAGCAUGAGAAUCCAAGAAUACUUGCUCUCGCACUGCACUAAUGCAAACCCCAUUGUACCAAACUACAUGACAAUCCUUUAUUUGGGACAUGAAACUGCCUGACUAAUGGUCGAAUUAUAAAACCUUAAUUAUAAUGGUCGAAUUGAAGGGGACAAAUCACCAUGUUUAGUAUUUGACCCUCUUACAGUUAUCACAGGGUUUCUCAUCACCAACCAAUCUGCACAAAUCUUACUGAUUGCUACACAUCCGAGGUCCGGUGCAAUAACUAAUCCUGCUCCAUGCACAAAGAAACAACAAAUGCAGGUCCUACCAGGAUUCGGACAAGGAACAAAAGGCAUAUAGGUACAUACAAAAAAACAAGCAAAGAGAAUAAUACACUUGACUUUUCCACAAACAAGACAAGAAACAAAAAGCCCUCAUUGGCCAGCCUGCACACCAAUCAUAUGGCCAUACAACCAUGCAACAAGCCUUGGAAACGAAGAGGAGUGGAAAGGAGGAGGAGAAGAGGUGUUGACCUGCAUAUCCAUGAAGGGAGAUGCAUGAGGCUGCUACCAGGAGUGGAAACGGAGAGGAGUGGAAAGGGGGAUAGACUAAAAGCACAAGAAUCCAGUAACAACGGACCAAUCAGGAAAGACAAAGAAAUAUCACUGAUGAGCAGCAGCCAACGAGCGAGAAUGGAAAAAAAUAGACUUGUGAAGCAGCUGAUAAGGCGAAGUGACCAGAAGAACAAGUGGCAUGCAAUGAAAUUACGCGAAGACAAAAUUAGGAACGAGGGGGACAUCUUCUUCCUCCCCAGUUGCCUCCUAUUCCUAUCCGGCUCUCCCCCACAACCUCCAUAUGACCAUGUCCUCCUCUUCUUCCUUCCCCCAUGACCUCCAUGGCCUCCAGCCCUUCCUCCCAGCUCUCACAUGUUGGCGUAUGAACAAGAGGAGACAAAGGAAGGAGGCGCACCUGGAGCAGCAGCAGCAAUGCUAGGGUUAGGGUUGGAGCAGCAGGAGGCGGCGUCCCAAGCAGGCCAUGGCAUGAGCGCGAAGCAGGCAGCCCGUACGUCACGCCACUGAGCAGAAGCACUCGGAGGCCAGGGUCGAACAACAGCUCUGGCGGAUCUGCGAGCGCCAUGGCCGCCGCCUGACCUGCUCGCUCUCCCUCUUCUCUUCCCGUCCCUUCUCAUGACGAGAGAAGGGAGGUUGCGGGCGGCGUGGUGCGAGGGAGAUGAGGAGAGAAGUCAGUGGCGGCGAGGUCUGACGAGCGGCGUCGGCGGCGAUGUGGGUGGGGCGGCGAUGUGGGUGGGAGAGGGCUGGCGAGCAGAGGCGGCGCGUGAGUGCGGGAGGAGGAGGAGGAGGCCGCUAGGUUUUACCACGGGAUUUAGCAUUGUUGAUUUAUACACGUAUGCAAAAUGACCAAAAUGCCCUUGGCGGGGUACUAAAUUAACACGCGGUGGCACGAAACGGGAAUAACUAUUCAUUGCUACAGGAGCGCGGCCUCGAUCCGACGGUCCAGAUCCUCCCACCGCUCAAUCCAACGGCCGGAAACCCAUCAAGCAAACGCAUCGGACGGCCAGAAUCGCCUGAUCGCUGAGAGCGCUCGGGAACGACUCGAUCCCUUAUUUCUCGAUGACGGGCUCCCGCAUGAGACCAUUAUUCCUUCUCGUUAUCACAAACGCACUAUAUAUACUAAGCCACGCGGUUGUAUCCGGCGGCGGAGGAACGAGGUGACGUAUUGCUCCUCCUUUGUUGGACGUUUCUGCAUCUUGUUUUUUUUUGUGGAUUGCCGCUCAUUGUAUGACUUAUGAUGUUCUUGUCGAAAGUCCUCCCAGAACCUGAGACCUCAUACUUGGUACCCAUGGCGUAUUCAAUAUCUUGAUAGUCUGUAAUCAUUUGGGCCCUACAAUAAGCUAUGUCUGUAUCUGAUAAGUUUCCCCCAGUUGAGUCAAAUUAAGCCGCAGGCUCCAUGCCAAGUGGUGCCAUUCCGUCGAUUCCUUUAAGUUUCAGCCUUGCGACCAUACCCCCUAGAAACCAAAGACUUUGAUUUCUCAUAAGGUGUUGGUGGCGUCUUAUAAGCAACAUCCGUUGAUCCCUGGUCGUCAUCGUUUAUGGUUGAGACAAAGACAACAUCUCCAUAAUCAAAGGUAUCAUGCAACUUUAGUGAGCUUAUGACAAUAUCGCCAUAACCCCGGUCAUUGCUAUCUCCUUUUAAAGGCCAUGAUAUUCCCUUUUUUUCCAUGAACGACUGCCUUUUCUAGGACCAUUAAUGGAUGCCAUUGAGCUAAAUAUCCUCUAGUGCUUUUCUUUUAGUUUUUCUAGACCUCCCAGAACUUCGAUUAUUUUGGAACAAAGGAAGCAUGUUGCUUAGGAAAAAAAAUGAAAUAACAAGAAACGCACGAACUGCCUUAAAAAUAUGAAAUUAGCCAACAAAUAAGCCAAAAUUUUACAUGAAACUUGUAAGUGGAGUAUUUUUAACUUGAAAAUUGGAGUUCCUAUUCAAACCUGACACUUCCCCUUUGAAACUUUGAUUCUUCCCUGAAGGCUCUUCAGUUUCUAAGUGAACAACAUCAAGACUUUACUGUAACUCUCUCGAAUUCUUACAACACCCAAUAAGGGAGUUAGGAUAAGAGAUGUAGGUUGGAGUUAUAUGCAGGCAGCUAAACACUUGCAAUAUUGUGCAACUAUUACAUAGUGCUAGUACCUCAAGCAUGAACCAUCAAAAGAUCGCUAUGUCACGCAAUUGAACAUGAUCCAAAUUAUGACAGACGAACCACACAUCAAACAACAAUACCCCAUGAAUUUCAUGAAAAAAAAGAAGAAGAAAAAGCAGCAGCCCAUGGAUCCAUUGAUUGAGCAAGAUCCAUUUGACUCCCAUACGUCUUAUUGAUAGUAGCAAUUGAUCCCAACUGAGGAAACUAACCAAGCAACAACAACAGACGGGAUCAUGCAUCUAAUUAUUCAGAAGAUGGAGCUUAUUCAUCGACCACAAGCAAUGGAUGGCUGCGGGCCUAGCCGAUGUAGUACAUGGGGUCGGGCAACUUGAAGGUGCGAGCGCCCUCGGGAGCGCCGAGGAUGUCGCUCCACUGGUCGCCGAUGUUUCCCACGACGACGUACCCAGCGUCCUGCAGCUUCUGCCUCUCGCCAGACUUGUAGGUCACCGUGGAACCCUUGAACCAUGGUUGCUUGAGGAGCAGGUUCAUCCAUCCGGAGAUGCCCUGGCGGCAGAGGUUGGCAACUGUGAUGGCCCUCCGGUGCUCGGUCCGUCCUGUUAGGAACACUGGCUUGAUGCCCACCGCGAGCAGCUUGUAGUACAGCCGUUUUGUCUCCGGUAGCGCAGGCGCGCUCCCCUCCAACACAUAAGCGUUGUAGCUCGUCGCGUUGUACGGCCUGGCCCUGCAUCAUGGGUUGAUGUGCAUACAUUAUCACAUGUCCAUGGGUUAAUGAGAUGUCAGCUAGUAGAUCUACAUCCUGAAGAAAUUAAACCAUCUUCAUGUUGUUCCUUAGACAUCGAUCAUUGUAUCACAUGGAAGAUGAUUUUUCACGUCAU